GACAGAGGGUACAAACGUUGUUCGGAAUCAUUGGGCGUAAAGCGGGUGUAGGUGGCUUUGUAAGUCGAGUGUGAAAGCCUGGGGCUCAACCCCAGAAGUGCAUUCGAUACUGCGAAGCUUGAGUGGUAGAGAGGUUAGUAGAAUUGUUGGUGUAGUGGUGAAAUACGUAGAUAUCAACAGGAAUACCGGAGGCGAAGGCGGCUAACUGGCUACACACUGACACUCAGACCCGAAAGUGCGGGGAUCAAACAGG
rnacentral:rRNA from 1 species